rnacentral:rRNA from 1 species
UACGGGGGGAGCAAGCGUUGUUCGGAUUUACUGGGCGUAAAGGGCGCGUAGGCGGUCAGCACAAGUCAGUUGUGAAAUCUCCGGGCUUAACUCGGAAAGGUCAACUGAUACUGUGCGACUAGAGUGCAGAAGGGGCAACUGGAAUUCUCGGUGUAGCGGUGAAAUGCGUAGAUAUCAAGUGGAACACCAGUGGCGAAAGGCGAGUCUCUGGACAUUUCCUGACGUGAGGCACGAAAGCCAGGGGAGCAAACGGG